rnacentral:rRNA from 1 species
GAGUAACGCGUGAGGAACCUGCCUCAAAGAGGGGGACAACAGUUGGAAACGACUGCUAAUACCGCAUAAGCCCACGGGUCGGCAUCGACCUGAGGGAAAAGGAGUGAUCCGCUUUGAGAUGGCCUCGCGUCCGAUUAGCUAGUUGGUGAGGUAAUGGCCCACCAAGGCGACGAUCGGUAGCCGGACUGAGAGGUUGAACGGCCACAUUGGGACUGAGACACGGCCCAGACUCCUACGGGAGGCAGCAGUGGGGAAUAUUGCACAAUGGGGGAAACCCUGAUGCAGCGACGCCGCGUGGAGGAAGAAGGUCUUCGGAUUGUAAACUCCUGUUGUUGAGGAAGAUAAUGACGGUACUCAACAAGGAAGUGACGGCUAACUACGUGCCAGCAGCCGCGGUAAAACGUAGGUCACAAGCGUUGUCCGGAAUUACUGGGUGUAAAGGGAGCGCAGGCGGGAAGACAAGUUGGAAGUGAAAUCUAUGGGCUCAACCCAUAAACUGCUUUCAAAACUGUUUUUCUUGAGUAGUGCAGAGGUAGGCGGAAUUCCCGGUGUAGCGGUGGAAUGCGUAGAUAUCGGGAGGAACACCGGUGGCGAAGGCGGCCUACUGGGCACCAACUGACGCUGAGGCUCGAAAGUGUGGGUAGCAAACAGGAUUAGAUACCCUGGUAGUCCACACCGUAAACGAUGAUUACUAGGUGUUGGAGGAUUGACCCCUUCAGUGCCGCAGUUAACACAAUAAGUAAUCCACCUGGGG